UCCCUGGUGGCCUAGUGGUUAAGGAUGCAGCAUUGUCACUGCUGUGUCUUGGGUUCAAUCCCUGGUCCAGGAA
rnacentral:tRNA from 1 species